AGUGAACGCUGGCGGCAGGCCUAACACAUGCAAGUCGAACGGCAGCACAGUGGAGCUUGCUCCAUGGGUGGCGAGUGGCGGACGGGUGAGGAAUACAUCGGAAUCUGCCCAGUCGUGGGGGAUAACAUAGGGAAACUUAUGCUAAUACCGCAUACGACCUACGGGUGAAAGCGGGGGAUCGCAAGACCUCGCGCGAUUGGAUGAGCCGAUGUCCGAUUAGCUAGUUGGCGGGGUAAUGGCCCACCAAGGCGACGAUCGGUAGCUGGUCUGAGAGGAUGAUCAGCCACACUGGACCUGAGACACGGGCCAGACUCCUACGGGAGGCAGCAGUGGGGAAUAUUGGACAAUGGGCGCAAGCCUGAUCCAGCCAUGCCGCGUGGGUGAAGAAGGCCUUCGGGUUGUAAAGCCCUUUUGUCCGGAAAGAAAAGCCUCGGAUUAAUACCCUGGGGUGAUGACGGUACCGGAAGAAUAAGCACCGGCUAACUUCGUGCCAGCAGCCGCCGCCGUAA
rnacentral:rRNA from 1 species